CUUGUUCACAAAAUUAAGCAUCUGCUCCUUGCUCUGCUAGCGUAUCUCCUCCUGUGUUACUUCCUCAAAUUUGUUCUGAGUCAUGGAUGGUUACACCCUGCACCACCCUGCACAAGACUCGGCCACCGGAGGCUACUCCUCAGCUGCUAAAGGAGGGCUUGCUGGUGUCCUCGUCGUACUCCUUGCUAUCGUCGUUUAUGUAUUCUUCAAGCGCCAAAACUGCCUCGAGGAGGUCGACCCCGGGAAGAUUCAGGUGAUCAAUAUUGUUGAAAUGGGAGAAAGGAGCGGCCAUGCUGGGAAAUAAGAAUCCAUGAAGUACCCGGAUGCCUCGACUGUUCCUUUUUA